rnacentral:rRNA from 1 species
CCUACGGGCGGCAGCAGUGAGGAAUAUUGGUCAAUGGGCGCGAGACUGAACCAGCCAAGUAGCGUGAAGGAUGACUGCCCUACGGGUUGUAAACUUCUUUUAUCAAGGAAUAAAGUGAGGCACGUGUGCCUUUUUGUAUGUACUUUAUGAAUAAGGAUCGGCUAACUCCGUGCCAGCAGCCGCGGUAAUACGGAGGAUCCGAGCGUUAUACGGAUUUAUUGGGUUUAAAGGGAGCGUAGAUGGGUUGUUAAGUCAGUUGUGAAAGUUUGCGGCUCAACCGGAAAAUUGCAAUUGAUACUGGCAGUCUUGAGUACAGUUGAGGUAGGCGGAAUUCGUGGUGUAGCGGUGAAAUGCUUAGAUAUCACGAAGAACUCCGAUUGCGAAGGCAGCUUACUAAACUGCCACUGACAUUGAUGCUCGAAAGUGUGGGUAUCAAACAGGAUUAGAUACCCCUGUAGUC